GACGAACGCUGGCGGCGUGCCUAAUACAUGCAAGUCGAACGCUUCUUUCCUCCCGAGUGCUUGCACUCAAUUGGAAAGAGGAGUGGCGGACGGGUGAGUAACACGUGGGUAACCUACCCAUCAGAGGGGGAUAACACUUGGAAACAGGUGCUAAUACCGCAUAACAGUUUAUGCCGCAUGGCAUAAGAGUGAAAGGCGCUUUCGGGUGUCGUUGAUGGAUGGACCCGCGGUGCAUUAGCUAGUUGGUGAGGUAACGGCUCACCAAGGCCACGAUGCAUAGCCGACCGGAGAGGGUGAUCGGCCACACUGGGACUGAGACACGGCCCAGACUCCUACGGGAGGCAGCAGUAGGGAAUCUUCGGCAAUGGACGAAAGUCUGACCGAGCAACGCCGCGUGAGUGAAGAAGGUUUUCGGAUCGUAAAACUCUGUUGUUAGAGAAGAACAAGGACGUUAGUAACUGAACGUCCCCUGACGGUAUCUAACCAGAAAGCCACGGCUAACUACGUG
rnacentral:rRNA from 1 species